CCAGAUAUACACUCUGAUGACGAGACGUCUCUUCGGGGGCUGUUCCGUUGUGGCGGUGUUACAUAGUCGCCGGACGGUACUGGUGAAGGAGGGUAACUGGAGCGGAGUGUCCGGGAGUACACCGCAGUCCCAUCUGACGCUUGCUGCUGCCGGAGCACGGAGCGCAAGACUCCGGUUCCCGUGUGCUUUUUGAGAGCGGGAAACACAACAAACCCACAACAAGGUCAGAGAUGCCCCCCCUUCAAGGAGUUUGAAAAGUUUUGGAUGUGCAUUGAGUUCUAUCUGAUCUUAGAAUGAACUGUAGAUGCAUUGCUCAUUCUCAAAAUUAAUUACAGCAGCAAGGGAAUAAAUAAUAUAUGGAUGACAAUGAAGCGAAUGACAAGAUCAGCCGACUAAAAAGAGACAGAGAAACCCAAUGUCGGAGGAACAGAAGAAGAGAAGAGGGAGACUGACCGACAGAGAGGCCAGACACGAGUAAACGUUAUGCAAGCUUUUCAGGAAUAGCGUGAACUGAAAGAAAAAGAAGACUGCAAAUCAGACGCCGACUCGGCCGUGUUGCUUUUGAAAUUGAAAGUACCCUUGGGUGAACUUUGUCUUAAUGGUGUUCUUGAUGUUGAUAGUCUCUGUACAAAUGUGUUUGCUCAACCAUUUUGUUGUGAGCCCUGUAAAAAUUGUUUUCUCGACCGUUUUGUUGUGAGCCCUGUAUGUUUCUAGCUUGCUUGGUUGCAACCAUAUAAACACCUUUAUUUCCAUGGGUGGUUUGCUGUUCGUCCGUCUCGUCCCCCAGAUAGACUGAAUCCCCGAAUCCAGGUUCUUGUUUAUUUAGAUUAUUAUGUUGGCCAACACUCUUACACUGAUUGUUCUGUUCAACCUAAGAUAUAACAAUUAUAAUCUAAUUAUAAAAAAAAAAAUUAUUUUAUUAUUUAUUUUCUUUAAAGUUAUUUUCCCAGCAAACUGGCCUGUUCCCUAGAGGAGCAGUAUGGGGAAUCCAAGUUGAAACAACUUGCCCAAAGGUUCGGACUUGAUGACAGAAAAAUUCUUGAAGGCUAUAGGGAUUUUAAGGAUAACUCAAGCAUCAUUCCAGAAAACCUUGCACCACUCCUG
ensembl:lncRNA